UACGUAGGGUGCAAGCGUUUGUCCGGAAUUAUUGGGCGUAAAGAGCUCGUAGGCGGUUUGUCGCGUCUGCUGUGAAAACUCGGGGCUUAACCCCGGGCCUGCAGUGGGUACGGGCAGACUAGAGUGCGGUAGGGGAGACUGGAAUUCCUGGUGUAGCGGUGAAAUGCGCAGAUAUCAGGAGGAACACCGAUGGCGAAGGCAGGUCUCUGGGCAUUAACUGACGCUGAGGAGCGAAAGCAUGGGGAGCGAACAGG
rnacentral:rRNA from 1 species